rnacentral:rRNA from 1 species
CCUACGGGGGGCAGCAGUGGGGAAUAUUGGACAAUGGGGGCAACCCUGAUCCAGCCAUGCCGCGUGUGUGAAGGAGGCCCUCGGGUUGUAAAGCACUUUCAGUGAGGAAGAACGCCUGGUGGUUAAUACCCAUCAGGAAAGACAUCACUCACAGAAGAAGCACCGGCUAACUCCGUGCCAGCAGCCGCGGUAAUACGGAGGGUGCGAGCGUUAAUCGGAAUUACUGGGCGUAAAGCGCGCGUAGGUGGCUUGAUAAGCCGGUUGUGAAAGCCCCGGGCUCAACCUGGGAACGGCAUCCGGAACUGUCAAGCUAGAGUGCAGGAGAGGAAGGUAGAAUUCCCGGUGUAGCGGUGAAAUGCGUAGAGAUCGGGAGGAAUACCAGUGGCGAAGGCGGCCUUCUGGACUGACACUGACACUGAGGUGCGAAAGCGUGGGUAGCAAACAGGAUUAGAUACCCUGGUAGUC